rnacentral:tRNA from 1 species
GCCGAGGUAGCUCAGUGGUAGAGCAAUAGACUGAAAAUCUAUGUGUCGGCAGUCCGAUUCUGCCCCUCGGCACCA